AUACGUAGGGGGCGAGCGUUGUCCGGAAUGAUUGGGCGUAAAGGGCGCGUAGGCGGCCCGGUAAGUCUGGAGUGAAAGUCCUGUUUUUAAGAUGGGAAUUGCUUUGGAUGCUGUCGGGCUUGAGUGCAGGAGAGGUAAGUGGAUUUCCCAGUGUAGCGGUGAAAUGCGUAGAGAUUGGGAGGAACACCAGUGGCGAAGGCGACUUACUGGACUGUAACUGACGCUGAGGCGCGAAAGUGUGGGGAGCAAACAGGAUUAGAUACCCUGGUAGUCCACACUGUAAACGAUGAAUGCUAGGUGUAGGGGGUAUCGACCCCUUCUGUGCCGCAGUCAACACAAUAAGCAUUCCGCCUGGGGAGUACGGCCGCAAGGUUGAAACUCAAAUGAAUUGACGGGG
rnacentral:rRNA from 1 species